ensembl:snoRNA U3 Small nucleolar RNA U3
AAGACUAUACUUUCAAGGAUCAUUUCUAUAGUUUGUAACAUAUGAAUAAAAUAGAAAAUGAUUUUAGGAGGAAAACCACCUUUAUUGGA